AACGAACGCUGGCGGCAUGCCUAACACAUGCAAGUCGAACGAGACCUUCGGGUCUAGUGGCGCACGGGUGCGUAACGCGUGGGAACCUGCCCUUAGGUUCGGAAUAACUCCCCGAAAGGGGUGCUAAUACCGGAUAAUGUCUUCGGACCAAAGAUUUAUCGCCUUUGGAUGGGCCCGCGUUGGAUUAGCUAGUUGGUAGGGUAAAAGCCUACCAAGGCGACGAUCCAUAGCUGGUCUGAGAGGAUGAUCAGCCACACUGGGACUGAGACACGGCCCAGACUCCUACGGAAGGCAGCAGUGGGGAAUAUUGGAUAAUGGGCGAAAGCCUGAUCCAGCAAUGCCGCGUGAGUGAUGAAGGCCUUAGGGUUGUAAAGCUCUUUUACCCGGGAUGAUAAUGACAGUACCGGGAGAAUAAGCUCCGGCUAACUCCG
rnacentral:rRNA from 1 species